UACACAUGCAGUCGAACGAUGAUCCCAGCUUGCUGGGGGAUUAGUGGCGAACGGGUGAGUAACACGUGAGUAACCUGCCCUUAACUCUGGGAUAAGCCUGGGAAACUGGGUCUAAUACCGGAUAUGACUCCUCAUCGCAUGGUGGGGGGUGGAAAGCUUUAUUGUGGUUUUGGAUGGACUCGCGGCCUAUCAGCUUGUUGGUGAGGUAAUGGCUCACCAAGGCGACGACGGGUAGCCGGCCUGAGAGGGUGACCGGCCACACUGGGACUGAGACACGGCCCAGACUCCUACGGGAGGCAGCAGUGGGGAAUAUUGCACAAUGGGCGAAAGCCUGAUGCAGCGACGCCGCGUGAGGGAUGACGGCCUUCGGGUUGUAAACCUCUUUCAGUAGGGAAGAAGCGAAAGUGACGGUACCUGCAGAAGAAGCGCCGGCUAACUACGUGCCAGCAGCCGCGGUAAUACGUAGGGCGCAAGCGUUAUCCGGAAUUAUUGGGCGUAAAGAGCUCGUAGGCGGUUUGUCGCGUCUGCCGUGAAAGUCCGGGGCUCAACUCCGGAUCUGCGGUGGGUACGGGCAGACUAGAGUGAUGUAGGGGAGACUGGAAUUCCUGGUGUAGCGGUGAAAUGCGCAGAUAUCAGGAGGAACACCGAUGGCGAAGGCAGGUCUCUGGGCAUUAACUGACGCUGAGGAGCGAAAGCAUGGGGAGCGAACAGGAUUAGAUACCCUGGUAGUCCAUGCCGUAAACGUUGGGCACUAGGUGUGGGGG
rnacentral:rRNA from 1 species